rnacentral:rRNA from 1 species
UACAGAGGUCUCAAGCGUUGUUCGGAUUCACUGGGCGUAAAGGGUGCGUAGGUGGUGAGGUAAGUCGGAUGUGAAAUCUCCAGGCUCAACCUGGAAACUGCAUUGGAAACUACCUUGCUGGAGGAUUUGAGGGGGGAUUGGAAUACUUGGUGUAGCAGUGAAAUGCGUAGAUAUCAAGUGGAACACCAGUGGCGAAGGCGAAUCCCUGGAAAAUACCUGACACUGAGGCACGAAAGCUAGGGGAGCAAACAGG